UUGGCAAUGGCCAAAAGGCAGAUGGUUUCGAGUGCCUGGAAUUCAAGUGGAGUUGUCUUUGUCCGAUGCUCACCAAGUGGCUUUAUUAAGGGUACCGGAAUUUCUUAGCGGCAACAUUACCUGCGAAGUUUCGAUAGAGGAGAAAUAUACAACCGAAAUAGCAACAGGAUAUCUUUUCGUUCUUGCGCCUAAAACGACCAUUGACA